rnacentral:lncRNA from 1 species
ACGUUCGAAGCUCCUUCGUGACUUCGCGCGCGCACGAGACGAGCAGGAGCGUGACGACGAAGGUUAGGUGGGGAAGUGGGAAGGAGGUGGUGAACAGGCAACGGAAGAGUAUCAGCACCAGUAGAGCGUAGGAGUUGGUAGGCAAGCAGUCAGGCAGGCUCCAAGUACGAAAGGUGGGCGAACGGGUGAGGGGAAGGAAAAGGGGUGGGUAGGUACGCGAUCGCGAACGUCACUGCGUGUGAAAAGACGCGGGAGAAUAGUAGUUACGGAAUAGAUAUACCCCGACGGUGGUCCCGCAUUUUCCACAGCCGAAAUAGAUAUUACGAGCAACGCGGAAGAAGAAGAAGAAGAAGUGGUAAUAGUGGUAGUGUACUAGUAGAAAUAUAAACUUCUUCAGUCCAACGACGAGAAUGUAAAUUUUUCACCUUUACCGUUGAUAUAUCGUUUGCAUCAUUUCCCUCGCGUUUCUUUUUCAAGAAGAUUCCCGAAUUCUUUUAACAACGAUACGUGUUCCUGUUCCCUGUUUUUUUAAUUUUUUUUUUUCUAUUACUAUUAUAAAUUUGUUUGCAUUCUUGUAUUCCGAUGUUUAUUUUGACUUUUAAUUCGUGACGGUAUUUUCUUCUUCCUGCCUCGAGACUGAUAAAUGCUACAAUGCAAUGUUACGUAUGUAAUAAAUAAGUAUUACUUAUAUUUACAUAUAUAUGCAUAAGUAUUUCGAUAUAUAUAGUUUAUAUGCAUAUAUAAAUGUACAUAAUUACGUAUACAUGAACAACUCGAAAUAAGAAACAUUAGUUUUGUAUAUAAUUUACUUCGGCUGAUAUACCACACGACAAGUAACUUCACGAAAAAUAUCAUUACGAAAACAAGAUAGA